rfam:Drosophila sechellia strain Rob3c scaffold_63 genomic scaffold, whole genome shotgun sequence.
UUUAGUACGUAGGCAUAAUUCCCUAUCUGAGGGUUAUGUAUCGUGCAUGCCAUAUACGGACGGUAGAUGGUAUCUUUAGACGAUUU